rnacentral:rRNA from 1 species
CAGUAGCCGCGGUAAGACAGAGGUGCCAAGCGUUAGGCGGAAUCACUGGGCUUAAAGCGUGUGUAGGCGGACCUGUAAGUACCUUGUGAAAUCCCACGGCUUAACCGUGGAACUGCUCGGUAUACUGCGGGUCUUGAGGUACCUAGGGGCGAGCGGAACAAAUGGUGGAGCGGUGAAAUGCGUAGAUAUCAUUUGGAACGCCAAUGGUGAAAACAGCUCGCUGGGGGUAUUCUGACGCUGAGACACGAAAGCCAGGGGAGCAAACGGGAUUAGAUACCCGGGUAGUCCCUGUCUCUUAUAC